AGGGUAGACCUCCCACCCUUGUGUAUUAUUACUUUGUUGCUUUGGCGAGCUGCCUUCGGGCCUUGUAUGCUCGCCAGAGAAUACCAAAACUCUUUUUAUUAAUGUCGUCUGAGUACUAUAUAAUAGUUAAAACUUUCAACAACGGAUCUCUUGGUUCUGGCAUCGAUGAAGAACGCAGCGAAAUGCGAUAAGUAAUGUGAAUUGCAGAAUUCAGUGAAUCAUCGAAUCUUUGAACGCACAUUGCGCCCCUUGGUAUUCCGGGGGGCAUUCGAGCGUCAUUUCAACCCUCAAGCUUAGCUUGGUAUUGAGUCUAUGUCAGUAAUGGCAGGCUCUAAAAUCAGUGGCGGCGCCGCUGGGUCCUGAACGUAGUAAUAUCUCUCGUUACAGGUUCUCGGUGUGCUUCUGCCAAAACCCAAAUUUUUCUAUGGUUGACCUCGGAUCAGGUAGGGAUACCCGCUGAACUUAA
rnacentral:rRNA from 1 species